UUCAACCUAUAAGAAAAACAAAAUAUAUUAUUAAUUAGUUACUCUAAAGAUAAUGAACAUAAACAUUAUCUUUUUUUUUCUCUUCUUUGUUGUUCCGUAUCUUGAUUUCUCGUUGAUAACUACACAUAAAUCUUUGGUUACCCUGCUUUAAUCACCACCAUCUAUACAAUGAAAAUUACCUUCACCUUCGAUUUUUGUUCGUUUUCGCCAGAAUCGCCACCAUCUUUUCCUCACAUCUCACCACUAUCUAUUAUUUUCUUAGAUCUACUGUACCAACAACAAAAUUACUUCCUCUAUCGCAUGAUACAUGUACUAUCUUUACCGUUACAGCCACAUACACUUCUUUUUUGUCUCCGUGAGGUACCAAAAAUUGAUCGGAGAAGAUGAACAACUUAUUGUGUUCUAUACUAUUAUAUACAUAUAGAAUAGAAAUAAAAUAUGUAUUAUGUGUUCUUUAUGAAGAAAGCAAAUAAUUUCAGAAACUCAUAUCAAAGAAGUAGGUGGAGCAACUAUAGUCACAACUAAGAAGACGAUGAAGCAGAGGCAAGACCCUGAUUACAUAAUCAAGGUCGGUAAAGAUGAAACCUAUGAAGACAAGAUCAUGUAUUAUGUAAAUAGAAUAUACAUUUAUAUACUAUUUUAUAUAAGAUCUCAAUGUAUUAUGUAUUGAACAGCUAAAUGUGACUAAGUCUCUAAUACUAGAAAACAAUUUAUAGAUUAUAUUUGGGUUCAUAAGAUCCUAAUUAAGGUUUAGAUUUACUAAGUAUGGGUUUGAGUGGAUUUGGAGUCCUAUGCUAUUUAGACGAUAUGGUAUAGAACUUGGAUUCAUAUUUAUAUAGUAUGCAAGCGUGUAGUGUUAGUGCUAUUACAUAAUCAAAGUCAGUGAAGACGAAACCUACGAGGACAAGAUCCAUACUAUGUAUUAUGUAUAUAGAAUAUACAUUUAUAUACUAUUUUAUAUAAGAUAUAUAUUAUGUAUUAUGUAUUGAACAAGUAAAUGUGACUUUAAGUCUCUAAUAUUAGAAAACAAUUCAUAGAUUGAAUUUUGGUUCAUAGGAUCAUAUCUGGGAUUUAGAUUUAGUAAGUACAUGUUUGAGUGGAUUUGGAGUCAUGUGUUAUUUAGACGAUAUGGUAUAGAAAAUUUGGAUUCAUAUUUAUAUAGUACACAAAGGUGUGGUGUUAGUGCCAUUACGUGGACUGAUAAUUAAUAGUGGAGUUUUUACAAUAGACAACUUCAUCUACUUUUCGUCUCUUUCACCGGCUAUUGGCACAACAUGAGGGUAUAACCUGCUGAAAAUAGUGAGACUUGCUCCUGAGGAGACGUCAAUUUAACUGGCUGGUUUUGAGCAGAAUGCUAUCUCGGUUAUAGGUAUGAAGACAAAGAUACCGGUACGUUGACCGAUUUUGCCAUAUGCUCUGGUGAUCAUCUCUUGGUGCUUGCUCACUGCUGUUACAAUAGUCUCUACAAUAUUAAUGACAUAUGUAAGACAUGGAGAGUAGAAUGAGAGUAACCUCUACCCACUUGUGUUUUCUUUUCCUAGACAAACAGUUUUGGGUUGUCUUUUGUGUUUAUAAAUAGUUACAGAGAGUUUUCCCUUUCACACA